rnacentral:lncRNA from 1 species
AGUUGCUUGACUUGACCUUAGGCAGUAUGAGGUCAAGAAAUAUUAAUAAAAUGCUUUCUUAACUGUUUAUUUCUGCUUUUUUUUAUAUAUCCUUGUUGUGACGUGACAGAGCAUUUGAGGUCAACUGCCAAGCUAUCAGUGGAGAUGGAGUAAAGCACCUUUAUCUAAGCCUUUGCUAACACGGUGCUCAGCCGUGACUCAGAGAGGGUGUAAAACACUCGUGCAGACUAAGAUUGUAGAUCUUCGCCCACAUCCACUCUUCUUGUGACAUGUGAGUUAAUCUCUGCAAAUAUUUAAUUUUUAAAAGAUAAUUUUGAAGCUCCUGCAGUUUCUAAAAGACUGGAAUUUGGGGUGGGGGGAUAGAGGGCAGGGUGUCAUUUACUCUGA